UCCUUGGGUUUUCGUGGACCCAUCCCUAUCCAGAAGCACAGCAAGUCCCCCACCCCUCCACUCCUGGGCUCACCCAGUCUGGCUCAUACCACCUAUCCGGCCCUGAGGGCCAUCAGAUUUCUGUGCACUGUCUCAAGAUAGCAGGUGGUCAAGCAAGGUCAGUCUGCAGAUGGAAUCUCCCCUGCCCCACAUGCCCUGGGUGAAGGAAGAGGCUGGGGAGAUAAAGCUGGUCCCAGGAGGCAGUGGGUCGGGGGUCAGCAGAGGGAAUCAGGUAGGAAAUAGCAGGAAUUCAAGCCCCAGGGUCACUCUGUGCCCUUUAGCUUGCUGCCCUGAGGUUAAUUCAGUGAACUGGGGUGUGGAAGGACCCUAAGAAGUAUCCCUUCCCUUCCUCCCCUCCCCCAUUACCUCUCUGUCUCUAAAAUAAAAAAAAAUUAGUUGUAGAUGGACAGCUUGCCUUUAUUUUAUUUGUUUAUUUUAUGUGGUGCUGAGGAUCAGACACAGUGCCUCACACAUGCAGAGGGAGAGCUCUGCCGCAGAGCUGCAGCCCAGCCCUCUCUCUUUUCUCCCUGCCUUUACUGUGGGACUGGCGAUUGAACCCAGGAAUGUUCUGCCUCUGAGCUACCUUCCCCUGGCCUUUACUACAUUUAAUUUUGAGACAAAGUCUUGCUUAGUUGCCCAGGCUGGCCUCAAAUUCAGGAUCUUCAGACAUCGACCUCCAGAGCAGCUUUACCUCCAAGAGGGGGCCGUGCGCCCUGCUGCCCGUUCCCCCUCUCCACGCCCUCCCCGCACUUGCUGGGAAUCUAGACCCUCAGUGACCACAGCAGAAACAGGGCCCUGCAGGAGUGGGGAGACAUCGCCUGCCAGGGCUCCAUGAGUAGUGGGACCAAGUGGGGAUCUUGGGCCACAGGGAACCCAAAAGCAGAAUCUGAGGAGCCCUAGGCCCCUUGGAGAGAGGUCAACAGCUGGUGCCAGGAGCUCGGGUGGCCACUGGGUAGAGAGCUCUGCCUGCUGUGCUGGCUUCACUGCGACAGUGUGAAGUUCUUCCACGUGUGGAUUUACUUCAGUAUUUGAAAGACCCUGAGCAGAAAUGGACCCCCAGGCAGCCACUGCCAUCUACACUCACAGUGGAGGGUCUGCGGACAAGCACCAGUGACAAGAAAUUGCCGUUCUUAGGUGGGUGCAGUGGCACACGCCUGUAAUCCCGGUGUCAAGAGUGAGCUGUGUCAUUAACGUAGACCAAACACAUUUGUGUCUUUCCAAAAUGUCAGAAUUUAUCGAAUAGCACUAAAUUCACAGGUACUCAUGGGUGACCCAGCUGUCACCCACAGGACAAUCACAGGUUCUUUUAUUCCCAUCUUGAAUUCUAAGGUCUCUAACACCCAGGUCACACGUCACGCUGCACACUAUACAUCACGCACAGAAAGGUUAGGAGAGGCAUGGCAGCACCGGGCGCAGGAGGCUGGGCGGAGAGCCCGGGCAGGGAGCGGGUGUGGACGCAGAGUCACUGUAGGUGGGCAGUGCUUCCAGCUUCCAGCCAGAAGAACUUGUUCAGGGCACAGAGGGGUCAAAGUACGGGAAUUAUUCUAGGCAAAGAUCCUGAUUGAUGGUAAUUUAAUGGUUCAGUUUGGAGUGAGCUUGAGAGGUCAGCUUGGAGUGGGACUUCCAUGAUUGUCAGAUGCAGGAGAAACUGAGGAUAGAGAUUCAGAGGUCCAUUGCUGUGGCUAUUUUCCUAGGGAAGGCUAAUGAUGAGUGACCAGGUGAUUGGGUCAGGGUGCUGCUGUGUUCAGUCUUGGGGUGCCCCUAAUUUUAUGGGCCUCAAGUAACAGGGUUGUUUCAUUCAGUGGUCAGGUGUGUUCGAUAGACUCGUGGGCCUGGUUUUCCUAAUAGCAGUUUGAUGUGCCCAUGCCGCUGUGUGCUUCUGAUUAAGCUGAUAAGGUCAUGGGUUUUCAUCCUUUAUGUUUUAAUUUUGAGGCAGGGUCUUGCUCAGUCGUCCAGGCUGACCUUGAACUUGUAAUACGCCUACCUCAGCCUCCUGAGUUCCUCAGAUUGCAGGUGUGUGCCACUGUGCCUGACUGUCCCGGGUGGUCAUUCUUAUUAGCAUGAUUGAUUGAUUUAUCAGCUUGUACCUUCUGGUUUUGACAGGCAGAUGGUUUUGACAAAGUUCCACCACAGUACUUCAACUCAGCAUGGAUCAGCUCACAGCAAACUACGGAGUGACAAAGGUUUAGGACAGUUUGAAAUCAGCUGUUCCAUACAUGGAAGAGUAACUCAGAGCUGGGCACAGCCUGCUUUCCACAUCUAGCAACUUGGGAGACUGAGGCAGGAGGAACACAAGAUUGAGGCUGGCCUCAGUUACUUAGCAAGACCCUGUCUCAAAAUAAAAAAUAAAAAGCAUUGGGGGUGUGGCUCAGAGGUAAAAUAACCUUGAGUUCAAUUCCCAGUACACACACACACACACACACAUACACACACACACACACACACAAAUUGCUGUUCUUCAGCGGAAAGAGUGUCGCUAGAGAUGUGUCGCUAGAGAAGUACUGCCGUGCUGGGCGAGCUCAGCAGCCUUCUGGAGCAGUGCCCUUGGCCUAGAACUUUCUCAGGUUGGGCUUGGCACCCACCCCCAUCAUGACGGGGCCAUGCCAUGCGGCUUAGCUGGUCAUUGUCGGUGCGUCCUGGAAUCUGCCCUGACCAAGAAGGAGGCUCCCGGGCUGGGGCAGUGGUGGGACGUCUGCUUGGUGCUCCCUGCUAGGAAAUGGGGGCUGAGCCUUGAUUUCCUUCCUGGUGAGGACGUGUGCUCCCACCCAUCGUGCAGGGCAGCCCGGGGGGCCUGGGGGACCCCAAGGUUUCUCAGUCAAAGGGGCACCACCCAAACGGCACUGGAGGAGCACACACAGGCAGACGGAGUCCACCCCCACCCCCACUCCCCCACCACUGGUGCCCCAGACACUAGCUGCCCUUGCAGGGGUCAGGUCUGAUGGAUUCAGGGCUGAGGGAGACGGGUCGAGGUGGAAAGAGGGGUACGUUUCUCUGGGAGUGGGUCCUCCCUUUAAGGAGGUGAGGGUACUCCCAGUGGAUCCAGGACUUGCCGCUGCGCUGGCGGCUGUGCUGGGGAGACUGUAGCUUCCCAGUGGCCCUGGGGCCAUGCCCCAUGUGCAGGCAGGUUCGGGCUUGCUCGCCUGGAGUCCUCUUGGUCGCUUGGAGCAAGGCCAGCAGAAAGUCUGGGGGAGAGGGAGACAGAAGAGGGAAGGGCCUGGAGGAAACGGGGCCAGAGAGAGAGAGGAGCCAGCCCGAGGCCGGGUGGGUUAGGAGCCUGAGAAGAGCGGUGGAGGGCGGUGCGUGCUCUGUGCAGGAUCUCAGAGAGCCAAGGGGGAUGAUGGGGCCCCGGCACCUGAAGGCCCAGGCUUGUGGCUCAGCAGGGGUGGCUGCCAGUGACAACUCAACUCAAAGUUGCUUCAGUAAAAGAAAUGUGAGCUCGGGUGACAGAAAGCACCCCCAAGGGCGGCCCUCUGUGGGACCCUCCCGACUUUCCAUGAGGAGGGACAAGGCAGGUUUUGAGGGGCCUCCAACUUGGGGGCCCCAGGGAAAGAGGUUUUUGCUCUUCCCUCCUCCGUAUGCAAGAUCUUAGGGAAGGACUUUCCACGUCUCCUGUCUGCCAUGGGCCCCUUCCUGGGCCAAGGCGGCUGUGCUGGGGAGACAGUAGCUUCCCAGUUGCCCGGGGGCCAUGCCCCGGGGGCCAUGCCCCGCCUGCAGGCAGGUUGGGGCUUGCUGGCCUGAGUCCUCUUGGAGGGCAUCAAGUAAGGGGGAAGCUGGGCAGAGAGGCCAGAGUUCAGUGAGGCCCAGGACUGGGGCGGGAGGCCUCUGGGGCAGGAGACCUCUGGGGCAGGAGGGCCAAGGAGCACAUGGGGAGUAUCGGCACUGGCCCCCGCAUCUGGGUGCACCCCCGCCUCCUGUUGGGAGGGGUGUUAGUGGGAACACAUCUACACACACUCAGGGACACGCACACACAGGUAGCAGCACUUGCAGAGACACAACUACUCCUAUACACACAGGUCCAGACACCCACACGGAGUCUGCACAUGCAGAUAGAUACAGCACUCACGAGCAUGCACACAUACACCCCUGAGAUGCACACUCACCCAGUAAGACACACACACACACACACACACACACACACACACACACGCGCCUCUCCCAGACAGGAGGGCCCUCCUCACCACCUCAUCUGCUGACACUGAAACCCUGCCUGGCCAGCCCCUGCUGGUCCCUGAGCAGCCUCUUUUGACCCCCAGGUCCCCAGGUCUUCAGGACUCUGGGCCUUGCCCACAGCCUUCGCGGCCUUCGUCUGCCCGCCGUGGCUCCGGCACCUGGCCUUCCCCCCUCACCAGGACCUGGCUUCCCGCUGCCCAGAUGCUCUCCUUUCAAGCCCCACCUCCAAUGUCCCCUCCCUGGGGCUGGGUGCCCCCUGCCUGGGCGUAUCCCCCUGCACCCCUCCUCCACCUGGUGGUCCUGUUGUCCCGGUGGGCCGCACCACCAGGGGGCGGGUGGGUGAAGAGCCAGGGUGCCCUGCCUGUGGGGUCUCCUGCUGUCCCCGUGGCCACAGUCAGCAGAUGGCGGGGUGUGCCCAGCCCAGGGAGCCCUGGGCGGUCCAGACAGCUCUGCAGGGCCUGCCCCACCCGUCCAGGCUCACACUGACACAUAUUCACUUGAGGGGGCAGUGGGCCCCUCGUCCUGGGCAGCUGCGCCCAGGCUGCACCCUCCCCUCCCGGACACCAGUGACUCACAUCUCCACCCGCCAGGCAGCCAGCGGGGACACACAGCCGCCUUUCAGCCCCUCGGCCUCAAACACUAGUGCAGUCUUCCCUCCCCCCUCCCGGGCUGUGCUGGCCCACACUGAGGCCACGCCAGGCCCCUUCCUCCUGGAGCACAGGCCUCCCUGUCUCUCGUCACCCGGCUCUGGUCCAAGCCAGCCCUGAAUGGCUGUCUUUUCACCACCAGAGCUGGCCAGGUGCAUUCUGGGCAGCCCCGUUCCCACUGCUCCCGGAUGGACGACUUUGGCCCCCGGCUGCCCAGAGCGGGAGUCCACUGAGGGCUGGGUGGAGACAUGGAGGUCCUUCCCAGCCUCCGAAGGCUGGGCGCGCUGAGCCGCCCUCCACACACACACACGCUCCAUCUGCUUCCCCAGCCUGGAGGACCGUUCCCACUGUGGAGAGGAGAACACUGAGGCCAGGGGAGGUGGGCCAGCUGUCUGCCCGCCUCGCCCUGGAGGGCACAGGGGCACCCGGAGCUCCCUCCCAGUCACCCUCGGGCCUUGGAGCCUGCGAAGGUGGGAGGCUGCUCCUCCGGAGGCCCAGACCUGUCUCCUUCACCAAGACCACGGGCAGGUCCCGUCCUCCCUGGAAGACCUGAGGUCCCUGGGAGGAGCCGGUGGGGAGCAGGGAGAGGCGCUGGGUCCCCUCAGCUUCUUCUCCCUGGGGGCUGCUUAGGCAGCCCCCACUGAGGGCCAGUGUCCCUCAGCCUGCUGGCCACCCUCUUCCUGCUCCUCCGCUUCGCCCCUGGAGUAAGGAGGGCAGAAGGCCUGGCGCCAGGCGCUGGGGCAGAGGAACGUUACUGAGGUGACAUCGCCUGAAGCCAGGUGCGCGGAAGCGUUAAGACGGAUGACCUGGACUUCUGCAAAACCGAGAUCUUCUGGUCUUUGAAGAACAUUUGAGAAAGACUGAAAAAGGCCACAAUCUGGGAAAAGCGACUCACAAAGCGCCUGUGUGAGCGCCCGGAAGAGCACUGAGACCACAGAACUCUCCUGCGAGGUCAGAGAGCAACCUGGCCGAGAGAUCUGGAAGGGACACCUCACCAAAGAGGACAGAUGUGGGUGGACACCGAGAGGUGGCGCUAGGUAGAGACGUGUCAAAUCACCCCUGAGAAGACGUCAGCAGCCAGGACCGUUAAAACCCGAGAAUCCACUGCACGCCUUUCAGAUCCUCGGAACUCAGCCUGGGCCGUAUGGCACGUUGGUGAGGAUGAGGAACAACUGCAUUCCCAAGUUCUGCUGAUGGGAACGUAAAUUGGCUCAAGAGUUUUGGAAAUCAGUGACACAUCUUCUUAAUAAGUUAAAUAUGUACUCACCUCAUGAACCAGCUGUUCCACUCCCGAGUAUUUAUCAAGACAAACAGUGCGUCCCUAUAAAGACUUGUACGUCAGAGGCCACAGUAGCUUUAUUUGUAGUAGACAAAAUCUUUCAGGGACUCAUGACGUUCAGUCAACAAGGGACAAUCUUUAGGACACUGGUCCUGUAAGAUGUGUAUGGCCCAGUGAUAUUCUAGCCUUUUCCUUUGUGUAAGCACAUUCUGUGCUGUUUGCACACUGACCUAGUAGCCGACGACAUAUAUCUCAGAAUACAUUCCUGUCCGGGAGCAACGCACGACCAUCCACGACUGUCUGCCCCGCAGAAUACUGACCACACAGAGGAAUCAACUAUGGAUACACGCUGCAGCAGGGACAGACCUCAAAUCAUUGCCCUGGAUGAAAGCCAGAUGAAACAAAGUGUGUACCAUGUGAUUGUAUGUACCAAAUUCUAGAAAACGCAAACAAAAUCGUAAUAACAGAAGGACGGCUUGCCUGUAGGUGGGCUGAGGCGGAAGGAAGACGUUACAAAAGGGAUUGAGGAAACUGUGGGGGUGACGUUUGGGUUCCCCACAUUUAUUGUUUCACGAGUGUUGACAUAUAUCAAAAUUUAUUACACUGUAUACUUUAAACACACAGUUGACUGUUGUCAAUCAUACCUCAAUAAAGCUGUUAAGAAGAACAACGUGGAACAGGAAGGAUGGGGAGAGGGACAUUCACAUGGCAGGGACGGCUGACAGGAGGAACACAGCCCACAUUGUACAGCUGGCCCGGUCACUCCAGUUGACGACUAUUAGCUGAAAUUCAAAACAGCUAAUAGAGAGGAUCUCGAAUGUUCCCAGCACAAAGAAAUGAUGUGUCUGAGGUGACAGGCCAGUCACCCUGAUCUGAUCCUUAUAGAUGGUAUACACAGUGCCCCAUAAAUGGGUUCGAUUUCUAUGGGUCAAUUAAAAUACAUUAAUAAUAAUCAUAGGAGGACUAUGGCACAGGUGUUGCACAGAGGAGGUUUGUGAUUUUCUGAGAGGGCAGAAUGGAGGCCCAGUAGUGGCCAGUAGUGACCCCAGAGUGUGGGUGGGCACAUCAGCCCCACCUGGGCCCCUGGGAAAUGCAGAUGCCAGUGAGCUCCCCCGGGAGACUGUGCACAUUCAAACUGCAGCUUGGGCCAGGCCCGACCAGGACACCUGGACCCAGGCCCUCCAACCCCCUCAGAGACUAUGGCAAGGACUCCCUAGUGUGUCUGUAGAAUGACUGGGGACAGGGUCAGUCGGGGAGAGCUGGAGGCAGGGAGGGGGCAGGAAAGACCCUCUGAUUUGUGUCCCCAGCCCCUUGGGCCCCAUCAUGGACCCAGAUCCUGAAUUGCAUUUGGUCUUGCUCUGAUCUGAGUGUUUGGGCUGGAUUUCAUGAUGCCACCUGGCCUCCAAGAAUUUAUGGAGUCAGAGAUCCUGGGGCAGAGUGCACAGUCCUCUCUGCUUAGACUCCUCGGGACUGGACCGAGUCCCUGGGGCCUCUUCUCAUCCUCCCUCCCCUAAGCAGAGACUGAAAGGGUGACCGGAGCCCGAGGAAUAGGGCAAGAGGACUGCUCGGAAGAGGGCCACCACGGGGUCGAGAUGAGGGGCAGGAGGGGCUAAUGGCAUUUUUAGAGGCAGCAGACUUUACGAUUCUAUAGAGGGGACCCAGGAUCUGUCCUGACAUUACAGGUGUCAGAGGAAAGAAAGCCAUGAGACAGGAACCCCACACGACGGGAGUGCCUUUGGGGGGCAGGCCUCGGUGGGCACUGGAGCCUGGGUCAGGGUCAGAGCCCCAGGUACUGCGGUGUCCACUGCUCUACAAGGUGGCAAGCUGUGACGCUGAGUCCACCUGGCCUGGGCCUGCUUCAGCGCCUGAGCCUCAGAUGGCGUGCGGGGCGGGGGUGUGGCCAGCUGCAGGUCCUGGCCAUGCCAGGAGGCAGAGGCCCUUCACUGCCGGCCUGGCCACACCCUGGGCCCGUGGUCAUGGAGUCCUCGCUCUGGCAGUAAACGUCUUCUUCAGCCAAACCGCCGUAAAGGAGAGAACCAGUUUUGUGUUUCAUCUUGGGGCAGAUUGAGUUACUGAGAAGUUCUGUCUGACUCCCACUGCAGCCUUGAACUUCUUGGUCCAGUUUGUUUGGCCUGCUGCCCUGGUGUCUCCUGGUAACCUUAAAAUCUGCGGCAGCAUGAAGAAAAAAGAAAUGAUGCCAUGUUCAGGAAAAUGAAUGGACCAGAGACCAUCACAUUAACUAAGUCAGACUUAGAAGGUCAAGGGUGGUCUGUGUUCUCUCCUCUGAGGAAGCUAGAGGAAAGGGGGAAAGAGAGGUGCUGGUGGAUCUCCUAAAAAUCAAAGGGAGAUCAGCAGAGGGAAGGGACCGAGGGGUGGGAGGCCGGGAGGGUGCGGAAGUGCAGGGGGGUGGUACUGGCCAAAUGCUGUCGCCGUGUUUUGUGGGUGUGUGAGUGUGUAACAACAACCCCCAUCGAUGUGCACAACUAUUAGACAUCAGUCAAAAAAAUGUGGAAAAAAAAUCUGUGCCAGAACCUGGAGCCUCACGGGAAGGUGUCACCCACCAGCAGAGCCAGGAUCGUCGGCUGGCCCGGAGCCAGGGCCACCACAGCCGGACUCUCCAAGCACCCAGCCCGUCGGCACCUCUCUGGGCCCUUCAGCCUUCCAGAGGGACCCUCACCAUGUCUUAAACAGAAAUGAAGGCAGAGGCCUCUCUCCGAGGGAGGACGGGAAACCUAGUGGGGUGAUUCUUGCUGCUGGAGAGUCACCCCUAGGUGCGGGUUUCCCAGCGAGGACCUGAGACAAUGGCCUGCCUCCUGGUCCCUCUUCCCGGCAGUGGGAGGGGCGGCUGCACAAUGGACAGGGUCAGGACCAGCCUGAAACUCCCCAGACACUGUGACUGAGAGUGGACUGUGACCACAGACGGGGAACAGUGUGGCCGGCCACGUCUAAGAGACCAGCUGAUUGCUUGGCGAACCUCGUGUGCUGACUAGUUACACCCCAUCCGGAGAAUCGGUUAAAAAACAAAAAGGCAGAAACUCUGUUGGCUCAGAGGAGCAGAACGGGACAGGUCAGGCUGUUCUGGAAACUGGCCUCCAGAGACUGCACUGGACACCACCUGGUUCUGCCUCUUCUUCAGUAGCGGCUCACGGUGGCUUCUCAGGGCCACCACCAGCUGCCAUCGCAGCUUCCCAUCAAGCCCUCAGCCCCGGGCCACUCCCCAGGGCAGGCUCUGAAGCAGGGUGCAGGGAGGAAGGGCCUUCCGCUGGAGUCCCAAGGUGGGGGGAGGGGAAGGAAGGAGCAGCCCCACAACUUGGAUGAGGUGAACACAGACCCAGCAGCACCCCAACUUCUGAAUGGAGCCCAGGGAUACAACAGGCCACCCCACCGUGGGGUCAGCAGGCCACCACGAGGCCUUGUGUUCUACCUGCUCCGUCCUUGUGUCCACCUGGCUCCCUGCUCUGCCUGGUCAGGCCUGCCCCACCCUUUCUGGUUAUAGUUCCAGGUAUUACUUAGAAUUCGCUUCCCCUUGAAGCCCUGUGUGGAAGGCCACUCCCUCUUCCUGCUCUUCAGGCCACCCUGAACACCCCUCGCCUGAGCUCCAGUCUGGCCUGGCCUCUCAAAGGUCUGCCCUGCCCAGCUGCGCCUCCUUCCCGGCCUGUCCCGCCUCCCUGCCCGAGAGAGCUAAUGUGCUCUAAUCCCCUACUCUAGGACUCUCCUGGGGUCCCACAGAAGUUCCUGGGCUGCUUGCUGCUAGGCUUCCCAGUGGUGCCGACGCUCCUCCAGGGCCUGUCCCACAUCAGCCUGAGCUCUGGCAUCAGGCAGAUCACAGAGCCCAUGAACGACGCUCCUUGGCCUUGGCCGGCUCUGCCCAGGGCCAAUCCAUGCCUGGCCCUUGGUGCUCCAGGCCUGCAGCUGGCUCCCGAGUGUGCAUGCUGUUGGCUAUCCAGCAUGCACGGAUGGGCAGGGAUCCCAGCGUAGGUUCCAGAGGGUGUCGAAUGCCUGACCUUGAGCCUAGCCUCAUGUCUUGUGGUCAACGGGCCUCCCAGUGGGUCCUGGGACCACGCUGCUCCUGUUCAGUCAGGGAAUGGUGCUGGCGGUUCCUGACCUCACUCUGGUGGCUUGGCCUCCUCUCCUCUUGCCUCUGGAUCCAGCACUUUAUCCCAGAAUCUCUCUUCACCAGUAAGCCCCGGGCCCAGCCCUGCUCCUCUGGGCCCCUCUGCCUCUGCCUCUGCCUCUCCCAUGAAGAUGCCACUGUCCAAGUUCAGGCCUGGCCUGGGUGCUGCUCAGAGACCUGCUAGUCUGAAUGUGCACCCCCACUUAUCUCCCUUUUCAGCUCUGCUCAGUGCCCCUUGCCCCAGGUUGGGGAUCAGAGUCGAGUUCCAGGGGUCCACUCCGAUACCCAGUGAAGCCUUCUCACUUGCGGGAAGUGGUGACUCAUCACUGAGCCUGGCAGCCAGGGCGGCUCCACUUCCCUGAGGCCUCAAGUGGGUGUGCUUCUGGGAGGCGCGCAGGGACACUGGAGGCCUGAGCGUGGCAGCGUGCCAGCAGGACGGUGUCCAAGGAGCACCUAAGUCAUCGGGAGGAAGCCCUCAGCUGUCGCACAGCUGGGAGAUCACAGAGCCCAUGAGCAACGGUUGCAGGCUGGCUCCUGGAGGCGAGGCCUGAGUGAGCUGGCGUGGGAGCCUGGGCCACCUGUGGCCAGGUGAGAGAUGUGGGUGGAGCCCCCUGGAGCAGCCACCACCAGGCCACACACCCUUGGUUUUGUCAUCCUAAGGGUCACACGUUGCCCUGCUCUUCCAAUCUCCCCCGACGGGACUCCUGGUCCACCCACACUGUGCCUCGGGCCGCACCAUCUAGCACCACUUCCGCCUGGGGGUGCUCUCUGCGGGGGAAGGCUCUGCUCUGUGGUGCCUGCCCAUUCCUAUGGUGUAAAUGUGCCACCAUGGCCAGUUUCAAGUGACCAGGAUGAUGUCACUGAACACGGAAUAUUUCCACCAUAAUGACGCAAUACGUGCAGCCACCUCCAGGAGAGGCAGUAGUGAAUGUCGCAAAGUAAGUGUAAAGGGACAGGCCUGGGAUACUGAUUCUUUGUUUUUAACAGAACUCACUGAAUCAUAGGCCUCACAAUUUAGGUUCUGGUCAUGGCUGUAUUUACAACCGGCUCACAGGACUCCUCUGAGAAGUGGCCCGACAGCAGUUCUUGCGCUGGCCCCAGACACCACUGCUCCCACCCAGGAGCCGGUGGAGGCUGGUGGGCUGCGGCCUUGCUGCCGCCCCCUGCCAGAGCUCAUGCGGUCAGGCUGCCUCUGCCCCCUUCCCUAGGACGGCUUGUCUCAGAGCCUCGGCCUCCAGCUCACGUCCUUGGCCUGCUCCGUGCCAGGCUGACCUGUGGCCUCGGGCAGCCUCCUCCUCCAUCUCCUCCACAGCGUGAGCCCGGGACGGCCCUCCAUGCCCUCCUUUCCCCACACCUGCCCCCUCUUCCUCGCCCCUGGUUCUGUCCCAGUCUCUCCCGACACCCAUGGAGUGGCUCUGGAUCUGUUGGUCUCUCUGCCUGACUUUUUCCCAGUGGUGCUGCUUCCUCCUGGAAGCCUGCCCGUCGCUUCCAGCAGGGUUUGUCCUCCCUAGAAGAGGACAGCAGCCGAGGGCCAGUGCGACUGUGUCUCCACCUCGAAACCCAGAGUGCCCCAGCGGACGGAGCUGCUCAGCUGACUUAGAAAGGGGAGGCCGCGGCAGCGAGUGAGGCCCUGGCUGUGUGCUGAGAGGGCCCCCGGGAAGACAGCAUGCGUGAUGUCAGAGAGACUUGAGAAGAACUACCAUGUAGGGGGUGAAGCCCCACGGGAGGAGACCCAAACCAGUGGCCACUACCAG